GUUGUGGUGAGUGCCAGUUAAAUAAAUUUAUAGUUUGGUGGAUAACGUACCUUUUGUAUCAUGAUUCAUUGAGGUAUUAUAGGUUAUUCUAUUUCCCGAAAGGUUCUCGAUUUUAUAUAGUUCAUUCUGUUAAUUAUAGUUAGUUGGUGAGGUUGGAUAAGUUACUAAGUAAGUAUAAUUAGAGAAACUAUGUAGGUAGUGAUAAAUUAUUCGUGUGAUCUGAUAUCUGGUUAGUGACUUUAUUUAUCGAACUUAGGGAAUAGCUGAGUGUGUUGGUUAUUUAGGACAGAGAUAUUGUAAUUAUUAUGUGAUAGGGUCUGAGAUUAAGAUUGUCUUAGGUUAGUAAAGUUAUUUACAUAGCUUAGAAGAUUGAUUAAUAAAAAUCUUGUUGGUUAAGAGAGGUCAUUUAGUAAAAUUAGAUAUAUAAUGAUGGUGGAAUAAGUAGGUUAGAUUAUUGAUUGUUUCUUUUUUCAGUAUUGCACUCAACUGUUUAUUAAAAACAUUGCUAUUAGUUAAUUGUUUAAUAGUAAGGCCUGCUCAGUGAAGAAGUUUGUUUAAAUAGCCGCGAUUAUUUAUCGUGCUAAGGUAGCAUAAUAUAUAGUCUUUUAAUUGUAGACUUGUGAAUGGUUCAAUGAGGUGUGAUUAAGGUGAUAGUCUAUUAUCUGAAUUUAGUUUAGUGGUUAGGAACCCAUUGUUACAUUAUUAGACGGAAAGACCCCAAGAGCUUUUUUUGUGUUAGAUUUGUUUGGGGUAAAUGUAGAUUAUUCAUUUAUUUUUAGAUCCUUUAUGGAUAAAGGAUAAAGUUACCUUGGGGAUAACUGAGUAAAGGACAGGGAGAGGUCCUAUUGAUCUGUUUAUUACUACCUCGAUGUUGGCUUGUUGAACCUUUUCGGUGUAGAGGCUGGAAAAGGAAGUCUGUUCGACUUUUAAAUCUUCAUGAGUUGAGUUAAGACCGGUGUAAGCCAGGUUGGUUCUUAUCUAUAAUUGGUUCUAAUUAGUACGAAAGGAUUAUUAGAAUACAGUGUUUCUGUACGCAUAGGAAUAGGAAGUAUACA
rnacentral:rRNA from 1 species